UACGAAGGGUGCAAACGUUGCUCGGAAUUAUUGGGCGUAAAGCGCACGUAGGCGGCUUUUCAAGUCCCAUGUGAAAUCCCACGGCUUAACCGUGGAAGUGCAUGGGAAACUGGAAAGCUUGAGUACUUAAGAGGAUCGCGGAAAUUCCCGGUGUAGAGGUGAAAUUCGCAGAUAUCGGGAGGAACACCGGUGGCGAAGGCGGUUCUCUGGGCCUUACCUGACGCUGAGGAGCGAAAGCGUGGGGAGCGAACAGG
rnacentral:rRNA from 1 species